GCUCCGGUAGCCUAGUUGCAAGAGCGUCCGACUUGAAUGCGGGAGGUCUUGGGUUUAAUUCCCGACCGAGUCA